rnacentral:lncRNA from 1 species
UGGUGCAUAACUAAAUUUGAGCAGCGUCUUUUUCUCCUUGUGAUUGUAGGCUUCCAGCCAUCCGACGGGGUGAUGAAGCAGCGGUGCCAAAUCUGACCUUAUCUACAUUAGCUGCAUGUAUGGUUGAAUUCGGGACUAAGUACAUGAUUGAAAGAGUCAUAGCCUAGAAAUUUUGUCGAUUGUUUGAUCUGGUUUGUGACGCAGUGGUCUUUCUUUGGAGAGGGACCGAUCUCUAGUCACUUGUAUUCUAUGGGAAGCCACC